rnacentral:tRNA from 1 species
AAGAAAGAACACGAGAACUGCUAAUUCACGUCACCAUGCAUAAACACAUGGCUUUCUUA